GUGCUCACUUCAGCAACACAUAUAUUAAAAUUGGAACAAUACAGAGAAGAUUAGCAUAGCCCCUGUACAAGGAUGACACAGAAAUUUGAAAUGAGCUAUACUAUA